GACAUCAAAAAUCAUUGCAAAAAUACAAAAAGGUCUAAGCCAUCGAGGUGCUAGUUUACAAAUUUCAGUUGAUGUAACAAGUGGCAAGUUAGCAUUGGAGAAUAACACUUAAUCACCCUCCUAGAAGGUCAUGUGUUGUCACUAGUUAUCCACAUAUUGCUUCUAUUGAUUUUGUGUGAUAAAGCAGUGUCGUAAUAUGUGAAGUCUUACUUGAGAUUGCUCCGAGCACCUGAAGAAUGGAAAUUGCAAUAACAAAAUCCUAAUUCUAAUAGAAUACUAACAAUGCUCUAAUUAAACCAUAAUAAUACUAAGCAAGCUUAAUCAAAUUCAAAAAAAUCUCAAAGAAAUUUCAAACAAAGAAUAAGAAUUCUUAAAAAAUUAUCAGAAGGAUCACAAAUAUCACUCAAUACAUUUCAAUUUAAUCUUAAUUUAAUUCUAAUUAAAAUCCUAUUGAACUUCAUUCAAACUUUAAGCCAAAAUUAAUUAAAUCUUAAAUCCUAAUAAAAUCCUAAAUCCUAAAUCAAACCCUAAAUAAACCUUAAAUCCUAAAUAAAAUCCUAAUCAAAUUCUAAACCAAAUCCUAAACCCUAAAUAAAUCCUAACCAAAUCCUAAACCAAAUCCUAAUCCAAACCCUCAACCCUAAAUCAAAUCCUAAACCAAAUCUUAAACACUAAAUCAAACCCUAAAUCCUAAACCAAAUCCUAAACCAAAUCCUAAUACAAACCCUAAAUCUUAAACCAAAUCCUAACUAAAUCUUAAAUCCUAAAUCAAAUCCUAACCAAACCCUAAACCCUAAAUCAAACUCUAACCAAAUCCUAGUAUUUCCUACAACAAAUUUAAACCUCAAUAAUUAAUGAAUAAACCAUUGAUUAUUGCACACUUCUUAAAAAUUAAGUUAAAAAUAAGCACAAAAAAAUUCAAAAGGAUCAGAGUUACUAAAUUGAUGUUAACUUCAAAAAUGUGCUCGGGUAUUGGCCGGCCUCCUUCUCCAAUCUUGAUGCCAAUCUUUCAGAGCCGAUAUCUCUCUUUUGCACUAUUCGAUUGAUUUCAAAAUUCUUAUGCACAUAAAAAAAUAAGUCUUAUAUCCUCUCACAUAAGUUUUACUUCAAUCCAACUAGUAGAUUGUAAGAAAUCUAAAAAACUCUCACUGGACCUAAAAUUCUACUUUCUAAGACCUUGACCCACUUAAACCUCAAUAUCCUUCAAUUCAACUAUUAGAUCGAAUUAAAAUUCACAAUACAUAUUGAACACAACUAUAACCAUUAAUCUACAAAAUUUCAUUUAUGGAUCUGCUACAAACCUCUCGAAAUCAUCCAAAAUAUAAAUCCUAUUUUAUUUCAUAAAACCCAAGUCAUCUAAAAUAAGCCUUGACUUUGCAAAGCUCUAAAAAUGUC
rnacentral:lncRNA from 1 species